UACAGAGGGUGCGAGCGUUGUCCGGAAUCACUGGGCGUAAAGGGCGCGUAGGCGGCUUGAUAAGGUUGCGGUGAAAGCCCGGGGCUCAACCCCGGGUCGGCCGUGGCAACUGUCGAGCUGGAGCACUGUAGAGGCAGGUGGAAUUCCGGGUGUAGCGGUGGAAUGCGUAGAGAUCCGGAAGAACACCGGUGGCGAAGGCGGCCUGCUGGGCAGUGGCUGACGCUGAGGCGCGAAAGCGUGGGGAGCAAACAGG
rnacentral:rRNA from 1 species